AACGAACGCUGGCGGCGUGCCUAAUACAUGCAAGUCGAACGUGAGAUGUAGCAAUACAUUGAAAGUGGCGAACGGGUGAGUAACACGUAAGUAAUCUACCUUUAAGUUUGGGAUAACCUUGCCAACGCGGGGCUAAUACCGGAUGUGAUCAGCUGAGCGCAUGUUUAGCUGUUUAAAGGAGUAAUCCGCUUAAAGAUGAGCUUGCGGCCCAUUAGUUAGUUGGCGGGGUAAUGGCCCACCAAGACCGCGAUGGGUAGCCGGCCUGAGAGGGUGUACGGCCACAUUGGGACUGAGAUACGGCCCAGACUCCUACGGGAGGCAGCAGUAGGGAAUUUUGCGCAAUGGACGAAAGUCUGACGCAGCAACGCCGCGUGAGGGAUGAAGGUCUUCGGAUUGUAAACCUCUGUUGGAUGGGAAAAAGGUAGCAAUAUUUGAUGGUACCAUUCGAGUAAGCACCGGCUAACUACGUG
rnacentral:rRNA from 1 species